rnacentral:rRNA from 1 species
GAUGAACGCUAGCUACAGGCUUAACACAUGCAAGUCGAGGGACCGGCGCACGGGUGAGUAACACGUAUCCAACCUGCCCUUUACUCGGGGAUAGCCUUUCGAAAGAAAGAUUAAUACACGAUGUAAAGGAUGGGGAUGCGUUCCAUUAGGUUGUUGGUGAGGUACCGGCUCACCAAGCCUUCGAUGGCUAGGGGUUCUGAGAGGAAGGUCCCCUACAGUGGAACUGAGACCCGGUCCAAACUCCUAGGGGAGGCAGCAGUGAGGAAUAUUGGGCAAUGGGCGUUAGCCUGAACCUGCCAAGUAGCGUGAAGGAGGAAGGCUUAUGGGUCGUAAACUUCUUGGAUAUAAGAAGAUGUAUUAGAUGAAUAAGGAUCGGCUAACUCCGUGCCAGCAGCCGCGGUAAUAC